AUGCUGAAAAUAUUUGAUGAAGAUAUCACAGUUUUGUUGGAUUCUUUGGACCCAUCAUCGCUCGCACUCCCUAAGGCCCAAUAUCAUCACUUUUUGGUGAUCUUGUUUGUUGGUGAACAAAAAAGGGGUUGCUUGGUUGUUUACAAUUGGGCCUUGUGUCGAUUCCAACAUUAUACAUCUAAUACAGUUUAUACACUCCCCUGUUUAGAGUUGUGA